UGGGGAAUAUUGGACAAUGGGCGAAAGCCUGAUCCAGCCAUGCCGCGUGAGUGAUGAAGGCCCUAGGGUUGUAAAGCUCUUUCACCGGUGAAGAUAAUGACGGUAACCGGAGAAGAAGCCCCGGCUAACUUCGUGCCAGCAGCCGCGGUAAUACGAAGGGGGCUAGCGUUGUUCGGAAUUACUGGGCGUAAAGCGCACGUAGGCGGACAUCUAAGUCAGGGGUGAAAUCCCGGGGCUCAACCCCGGAACUGCCUUUGAUACUGGGUGUCUCGAGUCCGGAAGAGGUGAGUGGAAUUCCGAGUGUAGAGGUGAAAUUCGUAGAUAUUCGGAGGAACACCAGUGGCGAAGGCGGCUCACUGGUCCGGUACUGACGCUGAGGUGCGAAGCGUGGGGAGCAAACAGGAUUAGAUACCCUGGUAGUCCACGCCGUAAACUAUGGAAGCUAGCCGUCGGCAAGUUUACUUGUCGGUGGCGCAGCUAACGCAUUAAGCUUCCCGCCUGGGGAGUACGGUCGAC
rnacentral:rRNA from 1 species